AGGACAUUAGCUCAGUUGGUAGAGCGUCGGUCUCCAAAACCGAAUGUCGGAGGUUCGAGUCCUUCAUGUCCUGCCA
rnacentral:tRNA from 1 species